rnacentral:tRNA from 1 species
GGCUACGUAGCUCAGUCGGUUUAGAGCGCAGCACUCAUAAUGCUGAGGACACAGGUUCGAAUCCCGUCGUAGCCA